CCCAGCGAGAACCACGGUCUCGCCUCCAUCCUAUCCUCCAGUCGCCGCCGUCUCCCUUCUCUAGGUAGGGUGUUGUGCGUGUGCGGUCAUGCUUGAUGAUCGUGGAAGCCAAUGAUUCAGCUACGACAUAGCCUCGACUCUGCUUCCAUCUCCAUUUUCUCUCCUCGCCUUCUCUCUCAGAAACUACGAAGCACAACGAUCUCUUGUUGAAAAACCUUGAAUUUAGUCCCACUUCGAAGGAAGUUUUAAGCCCAUAAAAGCCUUGGUUUCCUGUUUAUUUUGGGGGUUUACACUAAAAUUGAGGAAGCAUAUAUGAACGCAAGGGCUCGAGGAUGUACGACAACUUGGAUAAGAUAGGAUUGUUCUCUUUGGAAGCUUCUCUCCAGCCUUGAGCUUCUUCUUGCCUGGUGCCUUCUCAUUGAAUAUUGGAGCAUUAAACCACAGGUAAUAAAUGUGGUCCAACCAGUGGCUAAUAAAAUGUCAUUGUAUAUAUGCUUUUGUUGAUUUCUG